CGCUCUACACCAACCCUCAUCAGCAGCUGCUCUUUAUCUGGAGCGUUCUAGAUUUCGGGGGACUGGCCUGGAGACUGAGACUCUUCUGCUUGAGGCUGCUGCAUGUCAUGACAUGUGCCUGAUGUAUAAAUAGACCCAUGAUGUUGCACCACCACCACUCAAGCAAUGUGUGUCAUGUUGCAGAGAUAAUGAGCACUCUGUUUUUCGGGGGACUGGCCUGGAGCCUGAGACUCUUCUGCUUGAGGCUGCUGCAUGUCAUGACAUGUGCCUGAUGUAUAAAUAGACCCAUGAUGUUGCACCACCACCACUCAAGCAAUGUGUGUCAUGUUGCAGAGAUAAUGUAAGGCUCUGCAGUGCUUCUGUAAGAGGUGACUGUUACACUCAAUUUAGGAAUACUACAUUUGGUCAUUCAGCUUUUUGGUCAAUCAGCUUUUUCAUUUACUGUAGUAGAAAAGUGGAAUUUAAUUCCACUUCAUAUUAAAGAUUGUGCAAGUCUUAGCCAUUUUUAAAUGUCCUUAAAGACUUGGCUGAAGGUGAAUUAGCUAUGUGAUCAUUGAUCUUGUAAUAACAUGGAAUGUAUAUUUUGUAUUCUGGUUUAUAUGUGACGUAAUGGUUGUUAUAUGUUGUUUAUUGUUAAGUUUCUAUCUGUUUUGAUAGUA